UCUUGUGUUUCUGCAGCACAAUGAUUCUGAAGUUGGCUCUGUUCGUCACGCUGGUAUGUGUCACCUUUUCAGGACCAGUACCAACAAAUUAUCACUAUCAUCGGCAGUACACUCCGGAAAGAAUACACUUUAAUCCUCCCGAGCGCUCCACCGUAGGACCCGUCAGAGCCAUCCAAAAAAAUUUGAAUCCCUGUGGUGACGGCGGUUGUGUUGAUCCUGCCCUGGAACAGGCUCUUCUUCUUCCAACCAUAAAUGCCAUACUCGGCUGAAACAAAAAACGUCAUGCCGCGGGUGCAUAUCUGAUCAUGUAUACUUUACAGAUGGCAUAAAAACAUUUAUGCGUGUU